UUAUUCAUGUGUCCGUUAUUGGGUGAUC
rnacentral:sRNA from 1 species